UACGUAGGUGGCAAGCGUUGUCCGGAUUUACUGGGCGUAAAGAGCGCGCAGGCGGUCGAUCAAGUCGCGUGUGAAAGCCCCCGGCUCAACUGGGGAGGGUCACGCGAUACUGAUCGACUCGAAGGCAGGAGAGGGUAGUGGAAUUCCCGGUGUAGUGGUGAAAUGCGUAGAUAUCUGGAGGAACACCGGUGGCGAAGGCGGACGCCUGGACCGGCAUUGACGCUGAGGCGCGAAAGCCAGGGGAGCAAAGCGGG
rnacentral:rRNA from 1 species